UACUCGAGUGGCGAACGGGUGAGUAACACGUGGGUGAUAUGCCCUUCACUUCGGGAUAAGCCUGGGAAACUGGGUCUAAUACUGGAUAGGACCAUCGUUUAGUGUCGGUGGUGGAAAGUUUUUUCGGUGGAGGAUGAGCUCGCGGCCUAUCAGCUUGUUGGUGGGGUAAUGGCCUACCAAGGCGACGACGGGUAGCCGGCCUGAGAGGGUGGACGGCCACAUUGGGACUGAGAUACGGCCCAG
rnacentral:rRNA from 1 species